rnacentral:rRNA from 1 species
AAUGAACGCUGGCGGCAGGCCUAACACAUGCAAGUCGAACGGAUCCUUCGGGAUUAGUGGCGGACGGGUGAGUAACGCGUGGGAACAUACCCUUUGGUACGGAAUAGCCUCGGGAAACUGGGAGUAAUACCGUAUGUGGUCGAGAGACGAAAGAUUUAUCGCCAAAGGAUUGGCCCGCGUUGGAUUAGGUAGUUGGUGGGGUAAUGGCCUACCAAGCCGACGAACCAUAGCUGGUUUGAGAGGAUGAUCAGCCACACUGGGACUUAGACACGGCCCAGACUCCUACGGUAGGCAGCAGUGGGGAAUCUUAGACAAUGGGGGAAACCCUGAUCUAGCCAUGCCGCGUGAUCGAUGAAGGCCUUAGGGUUGUAAAGAUCUUUCAGGUGGGAAGAUAAUGACUGUACCACCAGAAGAAGCCCCGGCUAACUCCGUGCCAGCCGCCGCCGUAA